rnacentral:rRNA from 1 species
AGCAGCCGCGGUAAUUCCAGCUCCAAUAGCGUAUAUUAAAGUUGUUGCAGUUAAAAAGCUCGUAGUUGAAUUUCGGGGUCAGCAAGUUGGUCGUGCCACUGGUAUGUACUGGCUUUGCUGAUUCCUCCUUCUUGUAGAACCGUAAUGCCAUUUAGUUGGUGUUGCGGGGAAACAGGACUGUUACUUUGAAAAAAUUAGAGUGUUUAAAGCAGGCUAACGCCUGAAUACAUUAGCAUGGAAUAAUGAAAUAGGACGAGCGAUCCUAUUUUGUUGGUUUCUAGGAUUGACGUAAUGAUUAAUAGGGAUAGUUGGGGGCAUUAGUAUUCAAUUGUCAGAGGUGAAAUUCUUGGAUUUAUUGAGGACUGACUACUGCGAAAGCAUUUGCCAAGGAUGUUUUCAUUAAUCAAGAACGAAAGUUAGGGGAUCGAAGACGAUCAGAUACCGUCGUAGUCUUAACCAUAAACUAUGCCGACUAGGGAUCGGAUGAUGUUAAUUUUUAAUGACUCAUUCGGCGCCUUAA